CAAUAAAGACUUAGUCCCGGUCUUCUUAUUAACUACCACUUAACCUAUACAUGCAAGCAUCCACGAACCAGUG
rnacentral:rRNA from 1 species